rnacentral:tRNA from 3 species
GUGGCUGUAGCUCAGUUGGUUUAGAGCGUCCCCCUGUGAAGGGGAAGGUCGUGGGUUCGAGACCCAUCAGCCACCCA